rnacentral:ribozyme from 1 species
AUCAACCUUCCACAAGGGGACGUACCCCUGCUUCCACCAAGGGCUCCCUUACUUCCACCUUCUAGAAAACUAAGAGUCAUAUAUUUUUAGUAAUCUGUACCCACUGCCGAAAAACCCGACACAAAAUUUUCAUCAUUCGUCAUGCUUUGUACA